GACCGUAGUCUACAUACUACAUCUAACUG
rnacentral:piRNA from 1 species